rnacentral:rRNA from 1 species
GACGAACGCUGGCGGCGUGCUUAACACAUGCAAGUCAAGGGGGCCCGACGCAAUGGGCGAACCGGCGAACGGGUGCGUAACACGUGAGCAACCUACCGAACUGUGGGGGAGUAGCCGGCCUAACGGCCGAGUAAUACCGCAUACGCUUUCUAAGAGGCAUUUUUUGGUAAAGGAAACCUAACCGGACGAGAUCGAGGGGCGUCGCGGCCUAUCAGCUAGUUGGCGGAGGUAACGGCUCACCAAGGC